CCUACGUGUGGCUGCAGUGGGGAAUAUUGGACAAUGGGCGAAAGCCUGAUCCAGCCAUGCCGCGUGUGUGAAGAAGGCCUUCGGGUUGUAAAGCACUUUCAGUGGGGAAGAAAGCCUUGGGGCUAAUACCCUCGAGGAAGGACAUCACCCACAGAAGAAGCACCGGCUAACUCCGUGCCAGCAGCCGCGGUAAUACGGAGGGUGCGAGCGUUAAUCGGAAUUACUGGGCGUAAAGCGCGCGUAGGCGGUCUGAUAAGCCGGUUGUGAAAACCCCGGGCUCAACCUGGGAACGGCAUCCGGAACUGUCAGGCUAGAGUGCAGGAGAGGAAGGUAGAAUUCCCGGUGUAGCGGUGAAAUGCGUAGAGAUCGGGAGGAAUACCAGUGGCGAAGGCGGCCUUCUGGACUGACACUGACGCUGAGGUGCGAAAGCGUGGGUAGCAAACAGGAUUAGAUACCCGAGUAGUC
rnacentral:rRNA from 1 species